GACGAACGCUGGCGGCGCGCUUAACACAUGCAAGUCGAGCGAGAACCGGGGCUUCGGCCCCGGGGACAGCGGCGAACGGGUGAGUAACACGUGGAUAACCUGCCCUCGGCACCGGGAUAGCCCGAGGAAACUCGGAUUAAUACCGGAUGGCCCUUCCGGCCCUCGGGCCGGUCGGAAAAGGUAGCUUCGGCCUCCGGCCGAGGAUGGGUCCGCGGCGGAUUAGCUCGGUGGUGGGGUAACGGCUCACCAAGGCCCCGAUCCGUAGCUGGUCUGGGAGGACGAUCAGCCGCGCUGGGACUGGGACACGGCCCAGACUCCUACGGGAGGCAGCAGUGGGGAAUCCUGCGCAAUGGGCGAAAGCCUGACGCAGCGACGCCGCGUGAGGGAAGAAGGCCUUCGGGUUGUAAACCUCUUUCAGGAGGGACGAAGCUACUCGGGUGAACAGCCCAGAAGGUGACGGUACCUCCAGAAGAAGCCCCGGCUAACUACGUGCCAGCCGCCGCCGUAAGAC
rnacentral:rRNA from 1 species